rnacentral:rRNA from 1 species
UACGUAGGGUGCAAGCGUUGUCCGGAAUUAUUGGGCGUAAAGAGCUCGUAGGCGGUCUGUCGCGUCGGCUGUGAAAACCCGGAGCUCAACUCCGGGCCUGCAGUCGAUACGGGCAAACUGGAGUGUUGCAGGGGAGACUGGAAUUCCUGGUGUAGCGGUGAAAUGCGCAGAUAUCAGGAGGAACACCGGUGGCGAAGGCGGGAUCUCUGG